rnacentral:rRNA from 1 species
GACGAACGCUGGCGGCGUGCCUAAUACAUGCAAGUCGAACAGUUGCGAACGGGUGAGUAACGCGUAGGUAACUGCCUCAGAGCGGGGGAUAACUCCUGGAAACGAUAGCUAAUACCGCAUACUGUUAGAUUGCACUGCGUUGUCUUUGCUAGUUGGUGAGGUAAAGGCUCUACCAGGCGACGAUACAAUGCCGACCUGAGAGGGGGUACGGGCACACUGGGACUGAGACACGGCCCAGACUCCCACGGGAGGCAGCCGUAGGGAAUCGGCGGCAAUGGGCGGAAGUCUGACCGAGCAACGCCGCGUUAGUGAAGAAGGUUUUCGGAUCGUAAAACGCUGUUGUUAGAGAAGCGGUAACUAACCAGAAAGGGACGGCGAACGACGUGCCAGCAGCCGCGGUAAUUC